rnacentral:lncRNA from 9 species
CCACGACCGCGCGCAUCAACGGGUUCAGUCUCUGGGCUUCCGGUUAGGUUCCAGCCUCAUUCUGAGGCUCUCUAGGCAAGAAACCGACACAGAAAAGGGGGUGGAUGCUGGCACGAGCUUCAUCAGAGUGUCCUGUGGCCCAGUGGGCGAUGGCACGGCCUGCCCACUGCCAACUGAAAGCCGAUUCUACUACGGAUGUGAGAAAGCUGAGAUGCCCAAAGGAGAAGUGACCGGAGAGGACAGGCUGGGGCAGUCCUGACACUCUGGGUCAGCCUUCAAUCAACGUGGACCUUUCUUCUUGCUGCAUGGAGUUUUUGUUUGUUGUUUGUUUUUAAGGCCGCACCUGCAGCAGACGGAAGUUCCCAGGGCUAGGGGCCGAAUCGGAGCUGCACUCACCGGCCACAGCCAC